GUGUUGCAACAAACCUAUCAAUAUGGACCUUCCACUCUUGCAAGUUUAAUAAAUAUCAUCUCAACGUCUUAUUUUUGUUUUGGGCUAGUAACAAGCGCUUGUAAGUUGGCAAAGUACCAGAGUGCCCACCCCAGGAGCUUCCAUGAUUUAAUUGUCACAAUUUUAUCUUUGACUGAUACAUGGGUUGUGUUAGGCUGCCCAUUAGCAUUUUCAGCUAUGAUCCCGAAUGCCCCUAUACUCCUGCUUCAUCUAUACCUCUUUAGCAACUUCAACAGUUACUUUAUAAGCUAUUCACCUUACUUGAAUCAAGAGAGCAGGAUCCCGGCGCUCCUUGAAUCAGUUUCACUGUUUCUAAAUCGGAUCAGGGUGUUUAUAUAUUAGUGGUACUCUUUUUUUUUUUUCACAUCGAUGCAUAUAUAAAAUGCAUCAUAUUUAACCUCUGGUUCUUUUGUCAUCUCUAAUUGAAUAUUAGUGACCUUGGUCAGAAUCAAAGAGUGUUCCAUUUGCCUGUCCCUCUGUUGUGAUAUGUGUGUUUUCUCCAUUACCGUUGAUUUGUUUACAUUUAGUAUUGCAUUAAUGUGAUAAUGAGUUAAUGUGAUAUCCCUGAAAGGAUUAACACCUACUUUUGACGAGGCUAGAAACCUUUUUCAUAGUCUUCCUUUGAAGGGUUUACGCCCUACAUUUAUAUCCUACAACUUUAUGAUCAAAUAAUUGCUGGAAGAAGCAUAUAAAAUGCUUUUGGAAAUUAAAGAAAAUAAUUGCUUGCCUAAUGAAGUUACACACAACACUCUUAUCCGCGGCUGCUUUAAGAAUAAGAUGUAUGAUAGAAGUUGUGUGCUUAUAGAUGGACGUGUGCUCAUUGUUUUUCUGCAGAUGCCUCUACCACCUCCAUGCUAUUCAAUUUGCUGCAAUCAUAAGAGCAGGAACCCGGUCUCCUUGCCUUGCACAAGAAGUUCAUGCCUUGACUUCAUCAAGGAAAGAGUUUUGUAAGCUACAAAGUACUUCUAAAUCGCGACAACUUUGUAAUAGUUUGAUACGAAAUUUGAAGUAAACCUUUUGCCCUUAUCUUCAGUGCUGUUAUAUAGAAACCUCUUAAACCCUCAUGCUUAACACUUCACCUAAACAUAAAGUCUAACAUAUCCGUGCUUUUAAUAUCCUGCGACUCUGCCAGACUGACCAUGUAUCAAUGCUAGAAUCCAACAUUAUGAAAAUUGUUAUGACUCGGUGAUUCAGUAAAGCCUUAAAGUGAAGACAUAUAUUACUCUGAAUAUUGUUGACAUGAGGUAUGAAAAAUUGUGAUUCUACAACUGUUCAUUUUGACUAGGAUUCUAAUUAGUGGACCUGGAGUUCAUGCAUCAGCAACACAACUCUCUUACAAUACAAAAAUUGCAUCCUCUGCACAAUUAAGUCAUAUCACAAAAUUUCGGAAAAUUUUGUCAUUGUCGGAAAGUCUCUAUAUGAUUGUGUGUGCUCAACAAUAAAAGGUCCGUCCCUGACAUUCAUACAUAUGCUACUAAUAAUCGAUUGUUCUAGACCAACACCCAAAAACGAGAGUCUGAAAUGUCUGAUAUUCUGACCCCUGUUCAUUUCCGCUACUAUCAUGGAUAUAUAUUAUUUGGGGGAACCCCAUGACAAUUUCUGGACUAAUUCACAGGAAAAUAUGAACGUUGUAUAUGCAAUGACAGGAAAGAAGAGCAGGGAAGCUCCAAAAGACAGCAUCCGACGCGAUAUGGUGAAAACUAAAAUCUGACUAAACAGGACUUGAACAAGAAUAGUUUUCCAUGAUCUAGAAUAUCGAAUACCUGAUUUGAUUUUUAACAAUUGAACAUGAUAUGCUACGUUGCUCACCCCUAAGAAAUAUGAGUAUAAAAAUAUUUAAAAAUAUGAGUUUGUACAAAGCUAAAAAAAAUAAUUACACAACUGAUUAAACUAAAUAUUUCAUGUUUUUAUGAACUUCACGGGGCCAAACUCAUAUCUACUCUCCCUUUGCUAUUUGAAAUUCCAUAAAAUCAUUUUGAGAUCUGGUUUAUAAUAAUUACAUGAAAAAUCAUUAAAAAUCAUUAAAAGUCUUAUCAAGUGUUUGUUUAUAUAGCAUUCUUAUUUAAUAGUAUUAUAAGCAACCUAUUCUAAUUCAAAACACCCGAAAUUUCUCUUUAAUAAAUCCUGGUUCUGAUAGGAAUAAAAUGAAUUUGAGAUUAUAUAAGAAAUUUAUGAUUGCUCAGUAAGUGUACUAGUGCAAUUAAGUACAUUAAACAAAAAUUGAUCAUUGGUAAUAUAAUGCUGUUAAGUGUAAUAGAUGCACCUGAAUUUGUUUGGGUAUAUUGGUGAAAGUCUCAAGUAUUCAACAUAUCACUGUUCUGAUUCGUUUGCACCAAUUUGCAUAGGCCAAUCCUACAAGCAAACUUGCUUAAUUUCGUAAUCUGGGUGCUGCAUGUAAAUUUGUAAAUACAGCAAUCAGCAUUACAUGCCUAACAAGAAGCUGGUACUCUACUUUUGUAUCCAACCUACAUCUUAUCGGAGUUUAACCCUGACCCAAAUGAUAACAAGAUGUAAGAAGAAUAUGGAAAACACAAUGGGCUCAAAGAUGCCAUUAUUGAAAACAUGGACUGAAGUGAGCAUAAUAGAGUUGGAUUUUCUUUUGGAACAUAUGUGUUUCUUUUGUGCAGUAUAGGCCGUUUGAACUAUUUAGUAACACUUGCACGCCAGAUGUUUCAGUUGAUUUUGGAUUACUUGAUAAUACUCUUUGUCGACUGUUGUAGGAUGCCAUGGAAUAUGCCGAGGGUGAGGCAAUUGGAAAAGAGUUUGAAUGAAUUAAUUAGUCUAAAAGUUUUACAGAUUAAUGUAUGACGACAGGCAGUUAUAUUCAGAAUGGCUCUGAUAUCUCCUCUGAAGAAAAUUUGAUGGCAGAACUUGAGGAUGCAUUGUCGGAGCAGCGACCAAAUUAUACGUUGGGCGCUGGACUGACAAAACAAAGGGAAUAACGAAUACAGAGAAACAUACAGCAUUGUAGAAUUGAACUUGAAGGUUACUUUCCCACCUCAGAAGAGAAAUUUAAGCAUUCUACUUUCUAGAUUGAUUUUGUUUAUGAAGUAAGAUUACUACUGCAUCUUCACAAGUUCCUUUCUUUUGCAAUUUGUUGUUUUUGCAAAUAUGUGAGUAAAUAAAUAGAAAUAAAUAUGUGGGUAUGGGCUGGAGUUUACCAUUUUUUUCGUUUCCUUAAUGUAUUUUUCUAAUGGUGAAAACAAGAGACAACAAAAGGAAUAGGAUGGGGUUGUUACGUCAGGGUAGUUUUUCUUAAUUAAUUUACACCAUUAUGUAGUGUAUAUCCAAAUAUCUGUUUAUUGUUUCUGCAGAGAGUCUACAUGGUUGGUCCUCUGAAAUAUACAUAAGAGUGCUAGUAUAAUCUACAUGGGUAUUUGGUUCAAACUUAUAUUAGAUGAAUUUUAGCAAAUUUAAUAUAAUGCCUCGAUUUCCUUUUUCUAUUCAUGACUCAUUUUAUCUUAAUAAUGGUCAGGGAGCUUUGUUCAGUUAGUAGCCCAACAACCUAGCUAGACAUGUUAUUCAGCAAAGCUUGGUCGUAGUAUUCCAAGAUUUAGCUUGCUAGUUUAUAAAUAAGGACCAAAUAUAUCAACAGAAACUGGACGUGACAUUGCCUUGUCGGUCUGAUCCAAGGCUAGGCUGAAGGCGACAGAAGAACUACCCACGACAGGGAGCUAAUGUGUUUUCUAGUAUCUAACCAAAGGUUUCCCUUUGGUUAGAUAGUUUUCUUUCUGUUUUCUUUUAUGUUAUUUACUAUUUCAUCUCUUAUAUACUGUUAAAUAUAUUGAUGUUUAGAUCUCAAUAAUCUUAAGUGAUGCUCGAUUAGUAAUUUAAGCUUUCUUGUCUCUAUGUUGUUUCAGAAAUGAGGUGGUGUUAGUGUGGAUUGCAGCUUGGGACGUUCUAUUUCAGAUAUUAAGUGUUAUUGUUUAAACUUCCGGGGACAUUUCCAUGUCUUUCGGUUAGAUAAUAAGCUUUUUGAAUGAAAAAAACUCCUCGGAGUAUUGGCGUAUCUCGAUGUGAGCAAGUGUUUCUUUAGUCAAAAAAAAAAAAAAGCUCAUAAUACUAAUGAUAAAAAUAAAAUUUUUAUAACGAGACAAUAUUAUAACAUACUCUAUCAAAGUAAUAAUCAUCUAAUAUUUUAAAUUAACAAUAAAAAUCUAAGUCAUUGAAAUACUAUAUAAUUGAGAUGAAAAUUAUAAAGGUAAACCAUAUCAAAGGUGACAGAAUUUUUUUUGGCUACGGUUAUAAGGUUAGUAGUUCAAUUGAUAUUUUUAUAAUAAAAUAAGGUACAAGUCUUUUUACGCAAUUCAAUUAUUACUUAUACAAGGUGUGUGCAACAUAUACUAAAAAAGAAUAUGUUUAUUAUCUGCCACAUCAUGUAAAAAAGAAGAAAUAAAUGUAAAAUAACACGGACCACACAUCUUCAUCAAAUCAUGAUUUAGGAUAUCGUAAUUCACAUAUCAAGGACAAGUUUUAAUCAAAAUCAUGUUAUAUUAAAUGAAAUAAUUUAAUAAUUUUUAACAAUAAAUUACAGAUACUUUUAAUGAGGUAUAAUAUAUUUAGAAUCUAAAAGUUUCAAUAUUAACUUGGAAUAUAAUUUUGAACAUGUAGAUAAUAUGGUAGUGGCCUCUAUAUGCUAAGGAAUUUGAAUAUAAAAAAAUCAGUUCAAAUGUAGAUUUUGAUUCAUAAUUAUUUUAAUAUAUAGUAUUUAUUAUUACUAUUAAUCCUACUAAGUUGCAAAUAUUACAUUUCCAUCUUCACAUAUUUUAUCAAAAAAUAAAAAGUGAUAAUUGCGUUCGAAAUCAUAUGAUGACACAAUGAUACUAUGGAUACUCCCUCCGUUUCUUUUUUCUUUUCCUGUUUGUGGUGUCGGUACUACAAAUUACUAAUUUACAUCUAAUCUAUAAAAUUAAAUAUAGUCAUGAGUGAUCUUGUUAAAUUUGUAUUCACGAGUACUUUAAUACUGUGAAGUUUUUAUAUUUAAUGCUACUACGAAAUGAAAUAUAUUAACGAUCAAAAAUGUGUGUUGACAAACAUAAAAAAUACAAACAGGAAAGUAUUUAGAGACGGUGGGAGUAUUAUUUAAAACAUAAACACAAACUAAAGGCUUUUAUGCAGGUUAUUACCUUUAUCACACAAAAUUAAGUAGAAUUCUCACCUGUAUUCGGAGUCAUUUUUAAAUGCGUUACCAACAAUAGCAAAAGACAAGCAGCACUCCCUUUUUUUAAAGAAACAACGGAGGAGCAGAGUUUCCAAAAACAAGGGCAAGUGCAAGAUGAAGACGAUGAUGAGAACGAAGAGGGCUUUCACUACUGGCCUCACUUCAAACACUCUUCUUCCACUCCCAAGACUAGGUACGAAUAAUAUUACUACUAGUCCUUGUUGUCGUGUUAUUGCAUUGCUUCGAUUGCAUUCACUUUCUCAAUCCCCCAUUUGCCCUAACCCUAAUCACAUUCCCAAUCAUCUUACAAAACUUCAACAAUUACUGUUGGAGAAAUCUAGAGUUGGUUUUGAUAAGCCUGAUGAUGCUCUUAGAUUGUUUGAUAAAAUGCUCCGUAUGAAACCUCUGCCUAGUGUCAUCAACUUUACUCAACUCUUAACUGCCCUUGUCAAGAUGAAACAUUACUCUGUGGCUGUCUCCGUCUUUUCAAAGAUGUGCUCUUUUAGCAUUCCUGUUAAUAUAGUCACUUAUAGUAUUGUAAUCAACAGUUGUUGCCAUUUGAAACGCGUUGAUUAUGGCUUUGCGCUGCUGGCUGCCAUCUUUAAGCGUGGUUUUGUCCCUACUAUCGUUACCUACACAACUCUUGUUAGGGGACUCAUAUCCCAGGAUAGGUUUCUUGAGGCUGAGCUUAUGUUCAAGAACCUUCUCAAGUACAAUGAGAUUCAGCCCAAUGCAGUUAUUUUUAACACCAUCAUUGACGGCCUCUGCAAAACCGGCAACACUUCCCAGGCUAUGAUGUUGCUUAGAUACAUGGAGAAGAAAGGUUGUAUGCCGAACGUAGUAAAUUAUAGCACUAUUAUUGAUAGUUUGUUCAAAGACAGAUUAGUUGAUGAUGCUUUGAGCCUUCUUGCCGAAAUGAGUGACAAAGGCAUUCAACCAGAUGUUGUAACCUACAGCUCAUUAAUUCAUGGUAUGUGCAACCUCAGUCGGUGGGAUGAUAUUAUCCAAUUGUUCAGAGAUAUGGACAGAUACAGAAUUUCUCCAAAUAAGCAUACUUAUAAUAUAUUGGUUGAUGCACAUGCCAGAGAUGGAAAGGUCAAAGAUGCUCAAGUUUUGAUAGAUUUGAUGAUUCGAAGAGGCCAAAGUCCUGACGUAGUCACAUAUAAUACACUAAUGGAUGGAUACUGCCUGCGGGGAGAAUUGGAUAAAGCGUUAGCAGUGCUCAAAACCAUGACAAGUAAGGGGAUUUUGCCUAACACUCAGACCUAUAAUAUAUUGAUCAAUGGUUAUUGUAAGAAGAUGAAAGUAGACACAGCAAUACAUCUCUUAGAAGAAAUGCCCCUGAAAGGUUUAACACCUACAGUUAAAACAUACAAUACUAUCUUGGACGGGUUAUUUCGUAUGCGUAGGCUAGAUGAAGCCCAUAAGUUUUAUAAAAAGAUGUUAAACCAAGGUGUCAAACUAGAUACAGUGGCAUGCGGGAUCUUGUUGCAUGGACUUUGCUUGAAUGGACUUGUUGGUGAAGCAAUGUCCAUGUUUCGCAAGAUGGAGUCAUGUGGCUUAGUUUCUAACAUACGCAUUUAUAAUGUUCUGAUUCAUGGAUUGUUCAAGGACGGCAAGGUUGACGAGGCAAGAAACCUCUUUCAUAAUCUUCGUUUGAAGGGUUUACGGCCUAAUGACAUAUCUUACAACAUUAUGAUCCAAGGAUUCUGUCAAGAGGGGUUGCUGGAAGAAGCAUAUAAAAUACUUUUGGAAAUGGAAGAAAACAAUUGCUUGCCUACUGAAGUUACAUACAACACUCUUAUACGCGGCUGCUUUAAGAAUAAGAUGUAUGAUGGAGCUUGUGUGCUUAUAGAUGAGAUGUGUGCUCAUGGUUUCAAAGCAGAUGCCUCUACUACCUCCAUGCUAUUCGAUUUGCUGCAAUCGAAGGAGCAGGACCCCGCACUCCUUGCUAUGCAGAAGAAGUUCAUGCCUUGAGUACAUCAAUGAGAGAGUUUAUUAAGGUACAAAAUACUUUUAAAUUGCCAGAACUUCGUUAUAGUUUGUUACAAAAUUUUAAAUCAAUAGCAAUUGUGAUAUUGCAGUUGAUCAAAUAUAUAAUUUUGUUAAAUAUGUACUUGGAAAUGGUGGCCUUGUUGUAUGUGCAUAAUAUUACAAAAUGAGAAGUAUGAUAAAGCAUGCAUUUUUCUUCGACUAUAUGCUAGAAGCUGGGUUCUCAUUUUUACUUUGUUCACUAAAUUAUAUAUAUAUUGCCUAAAUUUGAGUCUGGAAGCCUUACUAGCAAAUGUGUUUAUAAAGUGUCCUGGAAGGACUGCUGCUAUCCCAGAGAUGAAGGGGGACUUGGCCUAAAGAAUAUUCAUAUCUGGAAUGAAGCAGCUGCCAUCUUUCAGUUAUGGCGUAUUAUUGUAAAAGCUGAAUCUUUGUGGGUGCAUUGGAUAUAUCAAUAUGAGCUUAAGAGAAAAGGAUUCUGGACUAUGCAAAUUCCUUCUAAAUGCCCUUGGUCUUGGCGAAAAAUUCUUAACAGCAGAGCUAAAGCUAGCAACUAUAUUCGAUAUAUUCCUGGCACCUCAUCUCAGUUUCUAUUGUGGCAUGACCCUUGGCUUAACAAUUGUCCCCUGAUCACUUUUUUUUAUCAUUCUUUGAUCACGGCUAUGGAGUCUCGAUUCUUAGCUGCUCUGAACACCAUUCAAUCCGAUGGUGCUUGGGUUCUUGGUGUAAGUGAUCACCUAAAUAUCAUCUCAACGUCUUAUUUUUGUUUUGGGCUAGUAACAAGCGCUUGUAAGUUGGCAAAGUACCAGAGUGCCCACCCCAGGAGCUUCCAUGAUUUAAUUGUCACAAUUUUAUCUUUGACUGAUACAUGGGUUGUGUUAGGCUGCCCAUUAGCAUUUUCAGCUAUGAUCCCGAAUGCCCCUAUACUCCUGCUUCAUCUAUACCUCUUUAGCAACUUCAACAGUUACUUUAUAAGCUAUUCACCUUACUUGAAUCAAGAGAGCAGGAUCCCGGCGCUCCUUGAAUCAGUUUCACUGUUUCUAAAUCGGAUCAGGGUGUUUAUAUAUUAGUGGUACUCUUUUUUUUUUUUCACAUCGAUGCAUAUAUAAAAUGCAUCAUAUUUAACCUCUGGUUCUUUUGUCAUCUCUAAUUGAAUAUUAGUGACCUUGGUCAGAAUCAAAGAGUGUUCCAUUUGCCUGUCCCUCUGUUGUGAUAUGUGUGUUUUCUCCAUUACCGUUGAUUUGUUUACAUUUAGUAUUGCAUUAAUGUGAUAAUGAGUUAAUGUGAUAUCCCUGAAAGGUUUAACACCUACUGUUGACGAGGCUAGAAACCUUUUUCAUAGUCUUCCUUUGAAGGGUUUACGCCCUACAUUUAUAUCCUACAACUUUAUGAUCAAAUAAUUGCUGGAAGAAGCAUAUAAAAUGCUUUUGGAAAUUAAAGAAAAUAAUUGCUUGCCUAAUGAAGUUACACACAACACUCUUAUCCGCGGCUGCUUUAAGAAUAAGAUGUAUGAUAGAAGUUGUGUGCUUAUAGAUGGACGUGUGCUCAUUGUUUUUCUGCAGAUGCCUCUACCACCUCCAUGCUAUUCAAUUUGCUGCAAUCAUAAGAGCAGGAACCCGGUCUCCUUGCCUUGCACAAGAAGUUCAUGCCUUGACUUCAUCAAGGAAAGAGUUUUGUAAGCUACAAAGUACUUCUAAAUCGCGACAACUUUGUAAUAGUUUGAUACGAAAUUUGAAGUAAACCUUUUGCCCUUAUCUUCAGUGCUGUUAUAUAGAAACCUCUUAAACCCUCAUGCUUAACACUUCACCUAAACAUAAAGUCUAACAUAUCCGUGCUUUUAAUAUCCUGCGACUCUGCCAGACUGACCAUGUAUCAAUGCUAGAAUCCAACAUUAUGAAAAUUGUUAUGACUCGGUGAUUCAGUAAAGCCUUAAAGUGAAGACAUAUAUUACUCUGAAUAUUGUUGACAUGAGGUAUGAAAAAUUGUGAUUCUACAACUGUUCAUUUUGACUAGGAUUCUAAUUAGUGGACCUGGAGUUCAUGCAUCAGCAACACAACUCUCUUACAAUACAAAAAUUGCAUCCUCUGCACAAUUAAGUCAUAUCACAAAAUUUCGGAAAAUUUUGUCAUUGUCGGAAAGUCUCUAUAUGAUUGUGUGUGCUCAACAAUAAAAGGUCCGUCCCUGACAUUCAUACAUAUGCUACUAAUAAUCGAUUGUUCUAGACCAACACCCAAAAACGAGAGUCUGAAAUGUCUGAUAUUCUGACCCCUGUUCAUUUCCGCUACUAUCAUGGAUAUAUAUUAUUUGGGGGAACCCCAUGACAAUUUCUGGACUAAUUCACAGGAAAAUAUGAACGUUGUAUAUGCAAUGACAGGAAAGAAGAGCAGGGAAGCUCCAAAAGACAGCAUCCGACGCGAUAUGGUGAAAACUAAAAUCUGACUAAACAGGACUUGAACAAGAAUAGUUUUCCAUGAUCUAGAAUAUCGAAUACCUGAUUUGAUUUUUAACAAUUGAACAUGAUAUGCUACGUUGCUCACCCCUAAGAAAUAUGAGUAUAAAAAUAUUUAAAAAUAUGAGUUUGUACAAAGCUAAAAAAAAUAAUUACACAACUGAUUAAACUAAAUAUUUCAUGUUUUUAUGAACUUCACGGGGCCAAACUCAUAUCUACUCUCCCUUUGCUAUUUGAAAUUCCAUAAAAUCAUUUUGAGAUCUGGUUUAUAAUAAUUACAUGAAAAAUCAUUAAAAAUCAUUAAAAGUCUUAUCAAGUGUUUGUUUAUAUAGCAUUCUUAUUUAAUAGUAUUAUAAGCAACCUAUUCUAAUUCAAAACACCCGAAAUUUCUCUUUAAUAAAUCCUGGUUCUGAUAGGAAUAAAAUGAAUUUGAGAUUAUAUAAGAAAUUUAUGAUUGCUCAGUAAGUGUACUAGUGCAAUUAAGUACAUUAAACAAAAAUUGAUCAUUGGUAAUAUAAUGCUGUUAAGUGUAAUAGAUGCACCUGAAUUUGUUUGGGUAUAUUGGUGAAAGUCUCAAGUAUUCAACAUAUCACUGUUCUGAUUCGUUUGCACCAAUUUGCAUAGGCCAAUCCUACAAGCAAACUUGCUUAAUUUCGUAAUCUGGGUGCUGCAUGUAAAUUUGUAAAUACAGCAAUCAGCAUUACAUGCCUAACAAGAAGCUGGUACUCUACUUUUGUAUCCAACCUACAUCUUAUCGGAGUUUAACCCUGACCCAAAUGAUAACAAGAUGUAAGAAGAAUAUGGAAAACACAAUGGGCUCAAAGAUGCCAUUAUUGAAAACAUGGACUGAAGUGAGCAUAAUAGAGUUGGAUUUUCUUUUGGAACAUAUGUGUUUCUUUUGUGCAGUAUAGGCCGUUUGAACUAUUUAGUAACACUUGCACGCCAGAUGUUUCAGUUGAUUUUGGAUUACUUGAUAAUACUCUUUGUCGACUGUUGUAGGAUGCCAUGGAAUAUGCCGAGGGUGAGGCAAUUGGAAAAGAGUUUGAAUGAAUUAAUUAGUCUAAAAGUUUUACAGAUUAAUGUAUGACGACAGGCAGUUAUAUUCAGAAUGGCUCUGAUAUCUCCUCUGAAGAAAAUUUGAUGGCAGAACUUGAGGAUGCAUUGUCGGAGCAGCGACCAAAUUAUACGUUGGGCGCUGGACUGACAAAACAAAGGGAAUAACGAAUACAGAGAAACAUACAGCAUUGUAGAAUUGAACUUGAAGGUUACUUUCCCACCUCAGAAGAGAAAUUUAAGCAUUCUACUUUCUAGAUUGAUUUUGUUUAUGAAGUAAGAUUACUACUGCAUCUUCACAAGUUCCUUUCUUUUGCAAUUUGUUGUUUUUGCAAAUAUGUGAGUAAAUAAAUAGAAAUAAAUAUGUGGGUAUGGGCUGGAGUUUACCAUUUUUUUCGUUUCCUUAAUGUAUUUUUCUAAUGGUGAAAACAAGAGACAACAAAAGGAAUAGGAUGGGGUUGUUACGUCAGGGUAGUUUUUCUUAAUUAAUUUACACCAUUAUGUAGUGUAUAUCCAAAUAUCUGUUUAUUGUUUCUGCAGAGAGUCUACAUGGUUGGUCCUCUGAAAUAUACAUAAGAGUGCUAGUAUAAUCUACAUGGGUAUUUGGUUCAAACUUAUAUUAGAUGAAUUUUAGCAAAUUUAAUAUAAUGCCUCGAUUUCCUUUUUCUAUUCAUGACUCAUUUUAUCUUAAUAAUGGUCAGGGAGCUUUGUUCAGUUAGUAGCCCAACAACCUAGCUAGACAUGUUAUUCAGCAAAGCUUGGUCGUAGUAUUCCAAGAUUUAGCUUGCUAGUUUAUAAAUAAGGACCAAAUAUAUCAACAGAAACUGGACGUGACAUUGCCUUGUCGGUCUGAUCCAAGGCUAGGCUGAAGGCGACAGAAGAACUACCCACGACAGGGAGCUAAUGUGUUUUCUAGUAUCUAACCAAAGGUUUCCCUUUGGUUAGAUAGUUUUCUUUCUGUUUUCUUUUAUGUUAUUUACUAUUUCAUCUCUUAUAUACUGUUAAAUAUAUUGAUGUUUAGAUCUCAAUAAUCUUAAGUGAUGCUCGAUUAGUAAUUUAAGCUUUCUUGUCUCUAUGUUGUUUCAGAAAUGAGGUGGUGUUAGUGUGGAUUGCAGCUUGGGACGUUCUAUUUCAGAUAUUAAGUGUUAUUGUUUAAACUUCCGGGGACAUUUCCAUGUCUUUCGGUUAGAUAAUAAGCUUUUUGAAUGAAAAAAACUCCUCGGAGUAUUGGCGUAUCUCGAUGUGAGCAAGUGUUUCUUUAGUCAAAAAAAAAAAAAAGCUCAUAAUACUAAUGAUAAAAAUAAAAUUUUUAUAACGAGACAAUAUUAUAACAUACUCUAUCAAAGUAAUAAUCAUCUAAUAUUUUAAAUUAACAAUAAAAAUCUAAGUCAUUGAAAUACUAUAUAAUUGAGAUGAAAAUUAUAAAGGUAAACCAUAUCAAAGGUGACAGAAUUUUUUUUGGCUACGGUUAUAAGGUUAGUAGUUCAAUUGAUAUUUUUAUAAUAAAAUAAGGUACAAGUCUUUUUACGCAAUUCAAUUAUUACUUAUACAAGGUGUGUGCAACAUAUACUAAAAAAGAAUAUGUUUAUUAUCUGCCACAUCAUGUAAAAAAGAAGAAAUAAAUGUAAAAUAACACGGACCACACAUCUUCAUCAAAUCAUGAUUUAGGAUAUCGUAAUUCACAUAUCAAGGACAAGUUUUAAUCAAAAUCAUGUUAUAUUAAAUGAAAUAAUUUAAUAAUUUUUAACAAUAAAUUACAGAUACUUUUAAUGAGGUAUAAUAUAUUUAGAAUCUAAAAGUUUCAAUAUUAACUUGGAAUAUAAUUUUGAACAUGUAGAUAAUAUGGUAGUGGCCUCUAUAUGCUAAGGAAUUUGAAUAUAAAAAAAUCAGUUCAAAUGUAGAUUUUGAUUCAUAAUUAUUUUAAUAUAUAGUAUUUAUUAUUACUAUUAAUCCUACUAAGUUGCAAAUAUUACAUUUCCAUCUUCACAUAUUUUAUCAAAAAAUAAAAAGUGAUAAUUGCGUUCGAAAUCAUAUGAUGACACAAUGAUACUAUGGAUACUCCCUCCGUUUCUUUUUUCUUUUCCUGUUUGUGGUGUCGGUACUACAAAUUACUAAUUUACAUCUAAUCUAUAAAAUUAAAUAUAGUCAUGAGUGAUCUUGUUAAAUUUGUAUUCACGAGUACUUUAAUACUGUGAAGUUUUUAUAUUUAAUGCUACUACGAAAUGAAAUAUAUUAACGAUCAAAAAUGUGUGUUGACAAACAUAAAAAAUACAAACAGGAAAGUAUUUAGAGACGGUGGGAGUAUUAUUUAAAACAUAAACACAAACUAAAGGCUUUUAUGCAGGUUAUUACCUUUAUCACACAAAAUUAAGUAGAAUUCUCACCUGUAUUCGGAGUCAUUUUUAAAUGCGUUACCAACAAUAGCAAAAGACAAGCAGCACUCCCUUUUUUUAAAGAAACAACGGAGGAGCAGAGUUUCCAAAAACAAGGGCAAGUGCAAGAUGAAGACGAUGAUGAGAACGAAGAGGGCUUUCACUACUGGCCUCACUUCAAACACUCUUCUUCCACUCCCAAGACUAGGUACGAAUAAUAUUACUACUAGUCCUUGUUGUCGUGUUAUUGCAUUGCUUCGAUUGCAUUCACUUUCUCAAUCCCCCAUUUGCCCUAACCCUAAUCACAUUCCCAAUCAUCUUACAAAACUUCAACAAUUACUGUUGGAGAAAUCUAGAGUUGGUUUUGAUAAGCCUGAUGAUGCUCUUAGAUUGUUUGAUAAAAUGCUCCGUAUGAAACCUCUGCCUAGUGUCAUCAACUUUACUCAACUCUUAACUGCCCUUGUCAAGAUGAAACAUUACUCUGUGGCUGUCUCCGUCUUUUCAAAGAUGUGCUCUUUUAGCAUUCCUGUUAAUAUAGUCACUUAUAGUAUUGUAAUCAACAGUUGUUGCCAUUUGAAACGCGUUGAUUAUGGCUUUGCGCUGCUGGCUGCCAUCUUUAAGCGUGGUUUUGUCCCUACUAUCGUUACCUACACAACUCUUGUUAGGGGACUCAUAUCCCAGGAUAGGUUUCUUGAGGCUGAGCUUAUGUUCAAGAACCUUCUCAAGUACAAUGAGAUUCAGCCCAAUGCAGUUAUUUUUAACACCAUCAUUGACGGCCUCUGCAAAACCGGCAACACUUCCCAGGCUAUGAUGUUGCUUAGAUACAUGGAGAAGAAAGGUUGUAUGCCGAACGUAGUAAAUUAUAGCACUAUUAUUGAUAGUUUGUUCAAAGACAGAUUAGUUGAUGAUGCUUUGAGCCUUCUUGCCGAAAUGAGUGACAAAGGCAUUCAACCAGAUGUUGUAACCUACAGCUCAUUAAUUCAUGGUAUGUGCAACCUCAGUCGGUGGGAUGAUAUUAUCCAAUUGUUCAGAGAUAUGGACAGAUACAGAAUUUCUCCAAAUAAGCAUACUUAUAAUAUAUUGGUUGAUGCACAUGCCAGAGAUGGAAAGGUCAAAGAUGCUCAAGUUUUGAUAGAUUUGAUGAUUCGAAGAGGCCAAAGUCCUGACGUAGUCACAUAUAAUACACUAAUGGAUGGAUACUGCCUGCGGGGAGAAUUGGAUAAAGCGUUAGCAGUGCUCAAAACCAUGACAAGUAAGGGGAUUUUGCCUAACACUCAGACCUAUAAUAUAUUGAUCAAUGGUUAUUGUAAGAAGAUGAAAGUAGACACAGCAAUACAUCUCUUAGAAGAAAUGCCCCUGAAAGGUUUAACACCUACAGUUAAAACAUACAAUACUAUCUUGGACGGGUUAUUUCGUAUGCGUAGGCUAGAUGAAGCCCAUAAGUUUUAUAAAAAGAUGUUAAACCAAGGUGUCAAACUAGAUACAGUGGCAUGCGGGAUCUUGUUGCAUGGACUUUGCUUGAAUGGACUUGUUGGUGAAGCAAUGUCCAUGUUUCGCAAGAUGGAGUCAUGUGGCUUAGUUUCUAACAUACGCAUUUAUAAUGUUCUGAUUCAUGGAUUGUUCAAGGACGGCAAGGUUGACGAGGCAAGAAACCUCUUUCAUAAUCUUCGUUUGAAGGGUUUACGGCCUAAUGACAUAUCUUACAACAUUAUGAUCCAAGGAUUCUGUCAAGAGGGGUUGCUGGAAGAAGCAUAUAAAAUACUUUUGGAAAUGGAAGAAAACAAUUGCUUGCCUACUGAAGUUACAUACAACACUCUUAUACGCGGCUGCUUUAAGAAUAAGAUGUAUGAUGGAGCUUGUGUGCUUAUAGAUGAGAUGUGUGCUCAUGGUUUCAAAGCAGAUGCCUCUACUACCUCCAUGCUAUUCGAUUUGCUGCAAUCGAAGGAGCAGGACCCCGCACUCCUUGCUAUGCAGAAGAAGUUCAUGCCUUGAGUACAUCAAUGAGAGAGUUUAUUAAGGUACAAAAUACUUUUAAAUUGCCAGAACUUCGUUAUAGUUUGUUACAAAAUUUUAAAUCAAUAGCAAUUGUGAUAUUGCAGUUGAUCAAAUAUAUAAUUUUGUUAAAUAUGUACUUGGAAAUGGUGGCCUUGUUGUAUGUGCAUAAUAUUACAAAAUGAGAAGUAUGAUAAAGCAUGCAUUUUUCUUCGACUAUAUGCUAGAAGCUGGGUUCUCAUUUUUACUUUGUUCACUAAAUUAUAUAUAUAUUGCCUAAAUUUGAGUCUGGAAGCCUUACUAGCAAAUGUGUUUAUAAAGUGUCCUGGAAGGACUGCUGCUAUCCCAGAGAUGAAGGGGGACUUGGCCUAAAGAAUAUUCAUAUCUGGAAUGAAGCAGCUGCCAUCUUUCAGUUAUGGCGUAUUAUUGUAAAAGCUGAAUCUUUGUGGGUGCAUUGGAUAUAUCAAUAUGAGCUUAAGAGAAAAGGAUUCUGGACUAUGCAAAUUCCUUCUAAAUGCCCUUGGUCUUGGCGAAAAAUUCUUAACAGCAGAGCUAAAGCUAGCAACUAUAUUCGAUAUAUUCCUGGCACCUCAUCUCAGUUUCUAUUGUGGCAUGACCCUUGGCUUAACAAUUGUCCCCUGAUCACUUUUUUUUAUCAUUCUUUGAUCACGGCUAUGGAGUCUCGAUUCUUAGCUGCUCUGAACACCAUUCAAUCCGAUGGUGCUUGGGUUCUUGGUGUAAGUGAUCACAUUGCUGUUCGUGAAUUGAGAAACCUGUGUGAUAGUAUCACACCCCGUGGUAUCGACAGAAUUGUAUGGGAGGGUGCAUCUAAGGUAUCUGUAUCUAAUAUUUAUGAAUCCCUGUCUGAUCAUACCUCUGGUCCUCCUUGGUUACUGUUUGUCUAGAACAAGUUUCAUAUCCCUAAAUAUGCUUUUACAGCGUGGCUGAUUAUGAAAGAGCGAUUGUGGACCAGGGACCGUAUGUUAUCCUUUUGCAUGAAUAUUGAUCGUGGCUGCCUUCUUUGUACAGGAUUCUUUGAGACUCAUUCUCACUUGUACAGUGUUGCAACAAACCUAUCAAUAUGGACCUUCACCUUCCACUCUUGCAAGUUUAAUAAAUAUCAUCUCAACGUCUUAUUUUUCUUUUGGGCUAGUAACAAGCGCUUGUAAGUUGGCAAAGUACCAGAGUGCCCACCCCCAGGAGCUUCCAUGAUUUAAUCGUCACAAUUUUAUCUUUGACUGAUACAUGGGUUGUGUUCGGCUGCCCAUUAGCAUUUUCAGCUAUGAUCCCGAAUGCCCCUAUACUCCUGCUUCAUCUAUACUUCAUUAGCAACUUCAACAGUUACUUUAUAAGCUAUCGAACUUACUUGAAUCAAGAGAGCAGGAUCCCGGCGCUCCUUAAAUCAGUUUUACUGUUUCUAAAUCGGAUCAGGGUGUUUAUAUAUUACUGGUACUCUUUUUUUUUUU
rnacentral:lncRNA from 1 species